CAGAAUUUCAUGUGCUCCAGAAUAACCUCAAAUUCACUAUGUAGCACAGGCUAGCAAUGAACUCAGAACCUCCUGUCUUCAUCUCCCAAGUGCUGAGAUUAUAAGCAAACACAACACCUGGCUUUUUCUUCAUUUUUUGACACCAAGUUCUCUAAUGUAAGCACGUGGAACAUUCGUGUAAAUUUAGCAUGGGCUUGAAGUUAACAAAGGGAUGUGCCCCCCAAGUAAAUUCACGGAAUUUCUCUUCUUUCUUUUAUGGCAGGAUCUCAUGAAUCCCAGACUAGGACUGAACUUUAUUAUAUAGCAGAAGAUGACCUUCAGCUCCUGAUUCUCCUUUGCCAUGUUGAGAUUACAGGCUGGCACCACUAUGCAGGGACUGAACCCAGAGUCCCAUGUAUCCCAGGCUAACUACUCUACCAACUGAACCCCAGCCUAACACACUGCGGUUCCAGGGACACGCCACUGCAUUUCACCUUUUAAUGUGGAGACGGGAGAUCUGAACUCAGGUCCUCAAGCUUGCUCAGCAAGCACCUUCAACAAUAAGUGCCCCAUGGGGCUGGUGUCUGGCAUCACCACACACAUGGAUAGGCACUUGAAGCCUGCUUCCUUGGGAACUUAGUUGCACGACUGUGCCUGCUGAACGAACAGGAUGGGCAGGAGGCAACAGAAUCUGCACAGACAUGCUUCCCUGCCAAGUUUCCUGGAUGAGAUGGAGGCCCACGCAGCCAGGAUCAACUCCUGCUGGCAGAUGGGGAGACAACAGAAAGAUUCCCCUAGAGUGUGUCCUGACCCAUUCUUUCAUCCAUGGACCUUACGAAAGGAAUGCCUUGGCCAGGCAUGGUGGCACACACCUUUAAUCUCAACACUUGGGAGGCAGAGGCAUCUCUGUGAAUUCAGCCAGACUAUUCUACAAAGAGAGCUCCAGGACAUCCAGGACUACAUAGAGAGAAGGGGCCUUGUGUUAAUGUUGUGAAACGUUGGUGCAUGGGUGGUCUUGGCAGGUUUGGACAAAGGUGGCCGUCAACUGAAAAUGGAUUAAGAAAAUGUGGUACAUAUACACAAUGGAGUACUACUCAGCAGACAAAAACAAUGACAGCAUGAAAUUUGCAGGCAAAUGGAAAGAACUAGAAAAAAAUCAUCCUGAGUGAGGUAACCCAGAUUCAGAAAGACAAACAUGGUAUAUACUCACUCAUAAUUGGAUACUAGAUAUAAAGCAAAGAACAAUCAGACUGCAACCCACAGAACUGGGGGAGCUGUAUAGCAGGGGGGACCCUAGGAUGACUGUGGCUUAUAAUAAGUUUUGGUUUUACUCAAUUACUGGGCAAGCCUCAAUGAAACAUUUCACUAUUAGGAUAAGAAUUUGUACUGUAUC